CCUGUCCAAGCUCAAGAAGCUCACAUGGGUGUCUCAAUGGUGUUUCUGGCUUGGACCAUGACUCUGUAUUUUUAAUACAUGUUGACACAUAUAAAUGAAUAUUGCAAAAUGUAGUCCAAAGGUCAUUCUUUAGCUUUAAUGUCCCAGCUAUAGUAUCAAAUAUGUUGAGUUAGAGAUUUACUAGUAAAGCUGGUAACUGAUUUUUCCUUAGCUUCCUUUGUCUCCUUUAUACAGGUUAAAACCAGGAGAGAGAAAAGAGUAAGAAAGCUGGUAGAAUGAGCACACAUCAUCAUACUGGCUGAGAACUGAUGCUCACAAAUGCAUAGAGCUCACACAUGAGUCAAGGCAUGCUCCAUGUGAAGGCUGUUGAUGACCCUCCUAUGUGUGACUUUGUCCUGUUUCGAUUGGAGUUGCUUGGAAUGACAACAAUACAGAAAAGAGAGACUUCAACCUCACCCUUUGGAUGAAGUGUUUCAUAGUGUCCUUUAUAGCUUCUAUCAACUUUAUCUGUAAGUAAAAGAAUUCCUAACUUUUGGCAACAGAUUCAUAAAAUCCUCUUAUUUUUCCAUUAAAUAUAUUUAAUUUAUUCAAUACAUUUGUGUAUGUCAUGGCAACCUGUAUCCUUGGCAUGCUAGGUUUCAGGCUAUGGGCUUGAUUUGGGCUUCUAUUUCUAUGGUGAGCAGAUUAAAAGUAGACCUUUCUGCUCUGCCUAGCACUGUCUUAUUCCCUCCAUCUCAGUUUUUUUUUUUUUAAGUAUAUAUAUUUUUUCUUUCUUUCUUUCUUUUUUUAAUUGUAAUCAAUUGUUAUUUCCCCAAUACAUUUUUUUCUAAUGUACAGCAUGGUGACCCAGUUAUACAUACAUGUAUGCAUUCUUUUUUGUCACAUUAUCAUGCUCCAUCAUAAGUGACUAGACAUCUUAGUUUAUCAGUCUCUGGGUAGUCUAGCCUGAGACUUGAGCUCUAUCAAUUUAAGACAGAAAUUCAGAGCUCUACCCUGUUGUAUAGAACUUUUCAGUUUACAUUGUUAAGUAAGAAGUUUUUCAGUAGCGCCAUUAAAGUAUACCUUGCAUAUUGGUGGUAAUCAGAUUAUUUUUCUCCCCUGGGCCUAAGAGCUUACUUUUUAUUCAUAUGGUUAUUAAUCCUUGAUUGAUUUGUGCAUUAGGUUGUCUAAAACUUAGAACUUAAAACGGAUUUUUAAAAUCCUCUCCACACUCAAAUUCUAAUAUUGAAACCAUAAACCUCUAUGUUUUACAAAAGUUUUCCACUUGAUUUGAGUUAUUUUGGGAAGAACCAGAAUCUAACUGGAACCUAACCAUCAGAUAAGAAAGUUUCCAAAAUUGGAGGAAGCAUUUCUCCUUAAAAGCCCUAACAAAUUUAUAGAAGGGAUUCUA
rnacentral:lncRNA from 1 species